GAAAUCAUUACUUUAGUCUAAAGUAGGAAGGGAAAUUGCACUAUUCAUAUGAACAGUGACUUGGGAUGGAUUUUGAGUUAUUUACAAAAUUGCCAUCGCCUUUUCCGUCCGUUUCCAUCCCCUUUUCAUUCCCUCUUUUUCUCUCCCGAGUCUCUCUGUGUAACCAUCCAUCGAAUCCCCCAUCCCUCCCUUUUCUCACUCUGUAAUUUCCCUCAAAUCCCUCGCCGAUUCUCUCUCGCCAUUCUCAGUCUACCCUUUCUCAGCUUGCAGCUCCAUGCUCCACCUCGAGAUUAUAGCAUCCCUCCCUUUUCUCACUCUGUAAUUUCCCUCAAAUCCCUCGCCGAUUCUCUCUCGCCAUUCUCAGUCUACCCUUUCUCAGCUUGCAGCUCCAUGCUCCACCUCCAGAUUAUAGCAUCGGGUGUAAGGUUUUCCUUUUCUGUUUUCUUUUUCCCGAUUUGUUGAAUUUGUAUUUUAUUGUUUGCCUAUUACCCUUUGACGACAAGGUAGCAAUUGUGACGGCUUCCACUCAAGGCAUCGGCUCUUGAAGGCGCCUCCGUCGUCAUCUCCUCCCGCAAGCGUUGUAGAGUUUACCUUUUGAUUUGUAUGUGUUUCGAAGCCUGUGUUGAACUAUCUUAUUAAUAAAGUUUCUAAGGUUGUAGAGUUUACCUUUUGAUUUGUAUGUGUUUCGAAGCCUGUGUUGAUCCGUUUCGGAAUUGCAGUCGUUGAUAAGAUAGUUCUAAUGGUAAUUGUUUUAUCUUUCAUUAGGUGAACUUGGAACAUCUGGCAAAUUGGGAAGAGAAGCAGAUGUUCAAACAGUAAAUGGGUGUGUGUGUUUACAGAUGUGUGGAUGCAUUUAGUUUAUCUUCUCCAAAAGCAUCUUUAUAAUGAAGAUAACAUGAAUUUGCUAGGGUUUUUUUUUCAUUUUUUAUAUUUUGGGUAGAAAUUUGUUGUUGUUGUUUCUUACAAUUUGAGUAGAAAUUUGUUUCCAUUUUAGUAGGUUCAUGGAAGAUCACAGUACAGCUAGCUUCCCGUUGAAAAGUAAGCUUCUAUUGUAUUAGCUUGGGGCAGUUUAAUUUACUUGCCAGAAAAGAAAAAGUUAUAAAGCCUUGUUCCUGCUGUUGUGGUGUCUCCUUUUAGGUAGAAAUUAUAUCUUAAUGUGCUUAAGCACCUGAAUUUAGGCUAGGUCUAAUGAAAUGAUAUGCUAUAUUUUAUAGAUCAGUCACAAUAUUUUUGAACCUGAGGUUGUGGUGUUCACACUUUUUCUCUUAGGAUUUAGAGGACGAUACAGUGUGUGUAUGAUCUAAUUUGAGUGAAAUAUCCUUCUUGAUUUGCCUUAUUCUUUCAAGUGUUAUCAUAACUUUGUGUGUGAUUGAUCAUUGUGUAUAACCAAUAUACCAGACAACCAUAACCGAAAGCCAUGCCUGCAGAGACUGAACCAUAACCGAAGCCCAUGCCUGC
rnacentral:lncRNA from 1 species